GUGGGUAGUCGAUCACUGCAAUCUGAUCACCAUCGGGGAGCUCUGAUCGUCACAUCGAAGCCACAUAAAUGUCUGGCCUCUACGGAUCAUCCACACGAAGCUCCCGUCUGAUCAGCUCCUCACGAAUGCUAGUUCGUGAUUUCAUCCUUUUGAUGGCAGAUGUUGAUCGAACUCCUUCGAUCGAUGUGUGCUGACUUCUCAGAUGCUCCAAAUUGUCUACACAGUUGC
rnacentral:lncRNA from 1 species